rnacentral:rRNA from 1 species
AGAUAGAAGUUACUUCGGUACAUCGGUGACAGGUGGUGCAUGGUUGUCGUCAGCUCGUGUCGUGAGAUGUUGGGUUAAGUCCCGCAACGAGCGCAACCCCUAUUGUUAGUUGCCAUCAUUCAGUUGGGCACUCUAGCGAGACUGCCGGUAAUAAACCGGAGGAAGGUGGGGAUGACGUCAAAUCAUCAUGCCCCUUAUGACCUGGGCUACACACGUGCUACAAUGGUUGGUACAACGAGUUGCGAGUCGGUGACGGCGAGCUAAUCUCUUAAAGCCAAUCUCAGUUCAGAUUGUAGUCUGCAACUCGACUACAUGAAGGUGGAAUCGCUAGUAAUCGCAAAUCAGCAUGUUGCGGUGAAUACGUUCUCGAGUCUU